rnacentral:rRNA from 1 species
GAUUAGAAGCUUGCUUCUAUGACGUUAGCGGCGGACGGGUGAGUAACACGUGGGCAACCUGCCUGUAAGACUGGGAUAACUUCGGGAAACCGAAGCUAAUACCGGAUAGGAUCUUCUCCUUCAUGGGAGAUGAUUGAAAGAUGGUUUCGGCUAUCACUUACAGAUGGGCCCGCGGUGCAUUAGCUAGUUGGUGAGGUAACGGCUCACCAAGGCAACGAUGCAUAGCCGACCUGAGAGGGUGAUCGGCCACACUGGGACUGAGACACGGCCCAGACUCCUACGGGAGGCAGCAGUAGGGAAUCUUCCGCAAUGGACGAAAGUCUGACGGAGCAACGCCGCGUGAGUGAUGAAGGCUUUCGGGUCGUAAAACUCUGUUGUUAGGGAAGAACAAGUACAAGAGUAACUGCUUGUACCUUGACGGUACCUAACCAGAAAGCCACGGCUAACUACGUGCCCAGCAGCCGCGGUAAUACGUAGGUGGCAAGCGUUAUCCGGAAUUAUUGGGCGUAAAGCGCGCGCAGGCGGUUUCUUAAGUCUGAUGUGAAAGCCCACGGCUCAACCGUGGAGGGUCAUUGGAAACUGGGGAACUUGAGUGCAGAAGAGAAAAGCGGAAUUCCACGUGUAGCGGUGAAAUGCGUAGAGAUGUGGAGGAACACCAGUGGCGAAGGCGGCUUUUUGGUCUGUAACUGACGCUGAGGCGCGAAAGCGUGGGGAGCAAACAGGAUUAGAUACCCUGGUAGUCCACGCCGUAAACGAUGAGUGCUAAGUGUUAGAGGGUUUCCGCCCUUUAGUGCUGCAGCUAACGCAUUAAGCACUCCGCCUGGGGAGUACGGUCGCAAGACUGAAACUCAAAGGAAUUGACGGGGGCCCGCACAAGCGGUGGAGCAUGUGGGUUUAAUUCGAAGCAACGCGAAGAACCUUACCAGGUCUUGACAUCCUCUGACAACUCUAGAGAUAGAGCGUUCCCCUUCGGGGGACAGAGUGACAGGUGGUGCAUGGUUGUCGUCAGCUCGUGUCGUGAGAUGUUGGGUUAAGUCCCGCAACGAGCGCAACCCUUGAUCUUAGUUGCCAGCAUUUAGUUGGGCACUCUAAGGUGACUGCCGGUGACAAACCGGAGGAAGGUGGGGAUGACGUCAAAUCAUCAUGCCCCUUAUGACCUGGGCUACACACGUGCUACAAUGGAUGGUACAAAGGGCUGCAAGACCGCGAGGUCAAGCCAAUCCCAUAAAACCAUUCUCAGUUCGGAUUGUAGGCUGCAACUCGCCUACAUGAAGCUGGAAUCGCUAGUAAUCGCGGAUCACGAAGUCG